GAUGAACGCUGACAGAAUGCUUAACACAUGCAAGUCAACUUGAAUUUGGGUUUUUAACUUAGGUUUGGGUGGCGGACGGGUGAGUAACGCGUAAAGAACUUGCCUCACAGCUAGGGACAACAUUUGGAAACGAAUGCUAAUACCUAAUAUUAUGAUAAUAGGGCAUCCUAUAAUUAUGAAAGCUAUAAGCGCUGUGAGAGAGCUUUGCGUCCCAUUAGCUAGUUGGAGAGGUAACGGCUCACCAAGGCGAUGAUGGGUAGCCGGCCUGAGAGGGUGAUCGGCCACAAGGGGACUGAGACACGGCCCUUACUCCUACGGGAGGCAGCAGUGGGGAAUAUUGGACAAUGGACCGAGAGUCUGAUCCAGCAAUUCUGUGUGCACGAUGAAGUUUUUCGGAAUGUAAAGUGCUUUCAGUUGGGAAGAAACAAAUGACGGCACCAACAGAAGAAGUGACGGCUAAAUACGU
rnacentral:rRNA from 1 species